CACCACCCUCCUCCUCCGGUUGCCCCGAAGGGGGAGCUCUUAUUAUUCCACAAUAAAUCAUCGCCUUAUAUAUCUGUUUUGUCGACACCUAUGACACCACUAGAGUAACGAUGUAGAAGAAGAAGAAGAAGAAGAAGAAGAAGAAGAAGAAGAAGAAGAAGAAGAAGAGGUAAUGUUUGUGAUGUUAACGAUGAAGAUGAUCCACGACGCGAAGGUGGACGAGGUGGGAUAGGAAUGGAAAUGGGGGUGUUGGGACGUGGAUGUGGU
rnacentral:lncRNA from 1 species